rnacentral:tRNA from 1 species
GCCGAGGUGGCGGAAUGGUAGACGCGACGGACUUAAAAUCCGUUACCAGCAAUGGUGUGUGGGUUCGAGUCCCUCCCUCGGCACCA